GCCCCUUCUUAGGAAGCUUGGAUACUAUUUUAAGAGACAAUUUGCGACUAGCUACCAUGACGACAAUGUCUCACCUAUUUCCUUUGCUCUUAGACUCAGAGCACUAAAAAUGCUGUGCAAUGUAAUUGGUUUCUUCAGCGUGGGGUCUAAGCUUUCCGGGGUGUAUUAUGUUCCAAAUGAAAAGGAACAGCAAGAUAAACCAUUGCCCCCGCUUCCUCUCGCAGAAAAAGUCAGUUCUUCACGGCUCCUGCCAACCCUCAGGGGGUGGGAAUGAUGCGGCAGCCACCGCCCUGGACCACUCUGGGAAAUGCCUCUUCUUUGGCUCUGAAAGAGGAAGUGGGACGCCUACGGGGAAGCCCACCUAUCGGGGUCAAUCACGUGGUCAGAGGGAUGGGCCUCAAGACCCCAAGGAGUGGGGUCUGCCUUUAGGAGAGCUUGGAGGGAGAGCUGCCAGCAAAGAAAAGCCAGAGCUGCAGUAGCAUCGCCCUUCUUGAAGCAAUGGUCAUGGCUGUGACUCUGGGACUGCUUGACUGAAUCCUCAUUAGCCCAUGUAAGAACCUGGACCCAACAGGCUGGACCUGGUCCUGAUCUCUCAUCCCUGCUCCAAAUGGAGGCAACUCAUUGACAGCAGAUGGGCCUGCAAUGGGAAAGCCAUCGGGGGUUUCAGCAGAGGACCGCAUGUUCCCAUCUCACUAUGAACUCACCCUGGCUUUCGGCCGGAAUGAAUAGCGAAGAGGAUGUCCAGAGAGACCAGCUGGGAGACGGACACAGGGACCGGAGGAAGAGGAAGGUGAUAGUGAGUAUGGAGAGAGGGAGGUGUUUCCAUUUUCUUUUCUUUUUUUAUUUUUAGGGCCGAACCUGUGGCAUAAUGGAGGUUCCCAGGCUAGGGGUCGAAUCAGAGCUGCAGCUGCCAGCCUAUGCCACAGCCACAGCAAUGGCAACACCACAUCCAGAUCCACGCUGCAUCUGUGACCAACACCACAGUUUGCAGCAAUGAAGGAUCCUUAACCCGCUGAGCGAGGCCAAGGAUUGAACCCGCAUCCUCAUGGACAUGCUGUCACAUUCUUAACCCAUUGAGCCACAACUGGAAAGCCUUGUUUUUAUUUAUUUAUUUAGCUUUUUAGGGCUGCACCCACAGCAUAUGGAGUUUCCCAGGCUAGGGGUCAAAUCAAAGCUACAACUGCCAGCCUACACCACAGCCACAGCAACAUGGGAUCCAAGCCACAUCUGCCACCUACACCACAGCUCACGGCAACGCGGGAUCCUUAACCCACUGAGCAAGGCCAGGGAUCGAACCCGCAUCCUCAUGGAUCCUAGUCUGGUUCUUAACCUGCUGAGCCACAAUGGGAACUCCCUUCUUGUUUCCAUUUUUGGUGGAUGGUUAGGGUGAAGAAGAGAGAGGAACCCGAGUUCUGGUCUGAGCACCGGGGUGGAUGUUGCCAUCCAUGGAGAAGAGUAAGCAGGAGACAGAGGGAGUGA
rnacentral:lncRNA from 1 species